rnacentral:rRNA from 1 species
UACGUAGGGGGGCAAGCGUUGUCCGGAUUUACUGGGCGUAAAGCGUGCGCAGGCGGUUUUGUAAGCCAGAUGUGAAAUCCCCGGGCUUAACCUGGGAACUGCAUUUGGGGACUGCAAGGCUUGAGUACGGCAGAGGGGGGGUAGAAUUCCUGGUGUAGCAGUGAAAUGCGUAGAUAUCAGGAGGAAUACCGAUGGCGAAGGCAGCCCCCUGGGUCGAUACUGACGCUCAUGCACGAAAGCGUGGGGGAGCAAACAGG